ACAAUGGAGGCAACUCUGAUCCAGCCAUGCCGCGUGCAGGAAGACUGCCCUAUGGGUUGUAAACUGCUUUUAUACAGGAAGAAACCUUUCCACGUGUGGAGAGCUGACGGUACUGUAAGAAUAAGGAUCGGCUAACUCCGUGCCAGCAGCCGCGGUAAUACGGAGGAUCCAAGCGUUAUCCGGAAUCAUUGGGUUUAAAGGGUCCGUAGGUGGAUAAUUAAGUCAGAGGUGAAAGUUUGCGGCUCAACCGUAAAAUUGCCUUUGAUACUGGUUAUCUUGAAUCAUUGUGAAGUGGUUAGAAUAUGUAGUGUAGCGGUGAAAUGCAUAGAUAUUACAUAGAAUACCAAUUGCGAAGGCAGAUCACUAACAAUGUAUUGACACUGAUGSACGAAAGCGUGGGGAGCGAACGGGACUUAGAUACCCCGGUAGUCCACGCCGUAAACGAUGGUCACUAGCUGUUCGGACUUCGGUCUGAGUGGCUAAGCGAAAGUGAUAAGUGACCCACCUGGGGAGUACG
rnacentral:rRNA from 1 species